ACCCGAUGCUGCCUGCCAGCUGCAGCAGCUACUCACAGACUGGUUUAGAUGUGUCCUUUAUUGCUGAUCAGUGAAAGCUGAUCUUAGCCAUAUAUGCAAAGCUCUGAUAUAAUCCCUUUGACUGUGGAGGUGAGGUUCACGUCCCCCAAAGACUGGGAUGUUACCUAUAGACGUUGUGAGUCCCUGGGGGAUGGUAAGAUUAUAGAAAACCAUUGUGCUUCCAUUGGUGUCUAGUUUUCUUGAUACACAUGAUUCGAGAUCACUAUAAAAGCAAUAGGUUUGCAUGGUGUUAUCUUUUAAACCAAUAUUUGUGCCUGGAAUUCAGAUUUGCUUUUUCUUAUUUCCAUAUGCUCUGUUUUAAACAUAUGUUAAGAUGUUAUUUAAAACUAGAAGCACUGAAAAAAAACCCACAUAAAAUAUGUUUUCUUCAUUAUCCGAGGCUUCGGUGCCAUCAUCGUUUGGAGUGGGAACGAGAAUGUUAAGUUAUGUCUGUAAAACAGAUUUCAACAGCACCAAAUAGAAUGCACAGCUGGCUGUCAUUCUCCCAGGUGCACUGGUGUUCUCGGAAGAGACUGUUUGAAAAUGCGGAUAUAAUUGGCCAUUCUUGGGGGGUGCCAACGCCAUAAUGUUCACUGAGUGCUUUCCAAGUUCCAAAGAUUAGUGUUGAUUUUGCUGGAAAAAAUGUGAUUAAAAAAACAUACAUUCCACAUUUCAAUCUAAAACCUACACUGUUGCUGUUGGGUUUCCAUAUAGGUACCAUUCAAAUAAAAGGAUACUGUCAUUUCACAGCCUUUCUGUCUGUCGUGGCAGGCUGUUUGGUGGUAUAUGGCCCCUCAGCAACAGCUUUACAGUUACAUUGUAAGACUACAUGAUAUUUAAUACCUGAUUUAUUUGCUUCAGUCAUCAAAGGGGUAUUUUCAAGUGACAAGUUGUGUGUGUACAUGUGUGUGUGUAUGUGUGUACAUUUGCAUAUCUGUUGAGACCAUAGGUAGAUCUUGAAGUGUCUUUCCUCAAGAACCAUGAGUAUUAAAAUGAGACUGGGUUUCUCACUAGCUUGGGGCUCACAAAUGAGGCUGGGAUAGUUGAAUAGUGAAUGGCCCUGAACCACCUGUGUCUUCCUCCCUAGGACUGUGAUCAUAAAUGCAUACCACAAGGCCAGGCUUUUGUUUUUAUGUGGAUUCUUGGGCUCAAACUCAGAUUCUUUUCCUCGUGCAAACACUAUACAAACUGUGUCACACCCCCAAAUUCUUUACAUGAUAAGGCUUUGAAGUUCAAUCCACGGAGCACAAACUUUACAAACAUUAGAAUUUAUAUCAUCACCAUCCUUUAUUGAAGUUACAGCUUUCUCAUCUUUCGUGUUCCCAACUCCAGAGCAUGCCUGUGUUCUGUUCUUGCUAUAGACUACUACUUACUUUAGUCUUUCACCUCAGGAAGAAUAGUGCCAUUAAUGAAACACAGAUGACUUUCCUCAUUCACUGUUAACAAGGAAUGGUAAUUAAAGUUAGUUUAUUAAGUUUCAUUACUAAUUUUUAAUUAAUUGUGUAUAUGUGUGCGUGCAUGCAUAUGUGCCUGCUCUGAGUGUAUUUGUGUAUACCAGGUGUGUGGGAGGCUGUGGCAUUAAGAAGAGGCAUGCAACCACCUGUAACUGUAGUUUCAGGUGGUUUUGAGCUACCAUGUGGGUGCUGGGAACAGAGCCUGAGUCCUAUGCAAGAGUAGUAGGUGCCUCGAUCUAUUAACCCAUCUCUCCAGCUCCAGGUUUCAUUAUUUUAAGAAUAUUUGUGUUAUUUUUUUAAUCCAAAAUUAACAAAUGUUUAUAAGUUUUUAAAAAUUACUGCCAACUUUGAGCACUUUUUAAAAACACUGGUUUCAGAAAAAAAUCUGUACCAAGUGUUCUACAUUCUCAUUUUCAUAUUUAAUGACAUGAAUGAGAAAUCCCUGAUUUGGUUUGGUUGCUGGAAUUUUCACAACAUAUGCGGCAGGGCUAUGCUUCUUGUGUGAAGGAGCAUCUUUCAAAGACUGAUUAAAUAACAUGGACAGAGAGGGGAAUAAAUGCUCAUGUUAACUGCACCCAUUUAAGCCUCUGCAUCCUGCUGUGAACAGUGGCGGGGCUGUUCCUCCCUUGCCCAGGUAGGGUGUAUGUGGAAUUAAGAAUUGCUGUGUAACUGGCAUAUCUACUUCCCUCCAUUGUCUCUGUCUGCUGGUGGCUUCCACCAUGAAACAGACCCAACCUCCUGCCAUCUGCUGUGUGUUCAGGACUGACAUCAAGGUCAGCUUCUCUAGGAUGCCUGCUGUUGCCCGGUUUAGAACGUUUCCAGCCCGCGAUCUGUCCACUUCUCUGCUGUGUCAGUUGCUGGGCUGCAUUUGAAAAUCCAUAUGACAAAGGAAAGCAGGAGGACUCUUGCCCAAGGGGUGGUGGUAGCUACUGAUUAAUUACAAGGCAAGUUAGUGGGCAGUGGCAUGUAGGUCUGUAGACAUGAUGUUUGGCAAGCCAACCACUGCGUUUUGCUUUAUAGGUCACUAAUCAGUGUGUUGUUAAACUGAAGUUUCAAUAUCCCUACUAAAAAAAUCAUUUAUAGGAGUCAGAGAAUAUUGCCUAUAUAGUUUAAAUUUCAAAACUGAUUCAAUAUUUCUUUUUCCUUUUAAUUUUUAGAAAUAUAUAUAUAUACAUAUAUAUAUAUAUAUUUACUUACAUUUUUGUUUAUUGAGAUUGGGUCUGUCUGUGUAGCCCUUGCUGUCCUAGAACUCACAGAACUCACUAUGUAGACUAGGCUGUCUGAGAACUCACAGAGAUCCACCUGCCUCUGCCUCUAGAGUGCUGAGAUCAAAAGUGUGUAUCACCAUGCCAGUCUGUGAUUGUACACUUCAGCAAUAACUCAUUCAUCUGGUAUUUUAUCAGUUGUACUGUAGGAUGAUCUCUGAAUUAGUAUUUACAAGACAGUAAUGAGAACAAACCAAAACAAAAAUAUACAAACAAACAGAAUGAAACUGGGGAAAAAUGUCACGAGGUUUGUAGUAUAUGAAACAGAAUGAUGGGCUGGAAACAAAUUCCCAAGCCUGGAUGGCUAAG
rnacentral:lncRNA from 1 species